rnacentral:rRNA from 1 species
ACUCAAAGGAAUAGACGGGGGCCCGCACAAGCGGUGGAGCAUGUGGUUCAAUUCGACGCAACGCGAAGAACCUUACCUGGGCUCGAACGGCUGGUCAACGACUCUGGAAACAGGGUUACCCCGCAAGGGGGUCCAGUCGAGGUGCUGCAUGGCUGUCGUCAGCUCGUGUCGUGAGAUGUUGGGUUAAGUCCCGCAACGAGCGCAACCCUUGUCCUGUGUUGCCAUGCCGAAAGGCGGAACUCGCAGGAGACCGCCAGCGAUAAGCUGGAGGAAGGUGGGGAUGACGUCAAGUCCUCAUGGCCUUUAUGUCCAGGGCUACACACGUGCUACAAUGGCCGGUACAAAGCGCAGCAAACCCGCGAGGGGGAGCCAAUCGCAAAAAACCGGUCUCAGUUCGGAUUGCAGGCUGCAACUCGCCUGCAUGAAGCUGGAAUCGCUAGUAAUGGCAGAUCAGCACGCUGCCGUGAAUACGUUCCCGGGCCUUGUACACACCGCCCGU